rnacentral:rRNA from 1 species
UACGUAGGGGGCUAGCGUUGUCCGGAUUUAUUGGGCGUAAAGAGCGUGUAGGCGGCCAGGUAGGUCUGGUGUGAAAACUCGAGGCUUAACCUCGAGAUGUCAUCGGAAACCAUCUGGCUAGAGUCCGGAAGAGGAGAGUGGAAUUCCUGGUGUAGCGGUGAAAUGCGCAGAUAUCAGGAAGAACACCCGUGGCGAAGGCGGCUCUCUGGGACGGUACUGACGCUGAGACGCGAAAGCGUGGGGAGCAAACGGG